CCUACGGGAGGCAGCAGUGAGGAAUAUUGGUCAAUGGGCGAGAGCCUGAACCAACCAAGUCGCGUGAGGGAGUACUGCCCUAUGGGUUGUAAACCUCUUUUGUCGGGGAGCAAAAGCCGGACGUGUCCGGCUGUGAGAGUACCCGAAGAAAAAGCAUCGGCUAACUCCGUGCCAGCAGCCGCGGUAAUACGGAGGAUGCGAGCGUUAUCCGGAUUUAUUGGGGUUAAAGGGUGCGCAGGCGGAUUUUUAAGUCAGCGGUCAAAUCGUGGGGCUCAACCCCAUCCAGCCGUUGAAACUGGGGAUCUAGAGUGUGCGAGAGGUAUGCGGAAUGCGUGGUGUAGCGGUGAAAUGCAUAGAUAUCACGCAGAACCCCGAUUGCGAAGGCAGCAUACCGGUGCACAACUGACGCUCAGGCACGAAAGCGUGGGUAUCGAACAGGAUUAGAUACCCCAGUAGUC
rnacentral:rRNA from 1 species